rnacentral:rRNA from 1 species
GAUGAACGCUGGCGGCGUGCCUAAUACAUGCAAGUCGAGCGAACGGACGAGAAGCUUGCUUCUCUGAUGUUAGCGGCGGACGGGUGAGUAACACGUGGAUAACCUACCUAUAAGACUGGGAUAACUUCGGGAAACCGGAGCUAAUACCGGAUAAUAUUUUGAACCGCAUGGUUCAAAAGUGAAAGACGGUCUUGCUGUCACUUAUAGAUGGAUCCGCGCUGCAUUAGCUAGUUGGUAAGGUAACGGCUUACCAAGGCAACGAUGCAUAGCCGACCUGAGAGGGUGAUCGGCCACACUGGAACUGAGACACGGUCCAGACUCCCACGGGAGGCAGCAGUAGGGAAUCUUCCGCAAUGGGCGAAAGCCUGACGGAGCAACGCCGCGUGAGUGAUGAAGGUCUUCGGAUCGUAAAGCUCUGUUAUUAGGGAAGAACAUAUGUUUAAGUAACUGAGCACAUCUUGACGGUACCUAAUCAGAAAGCCACGGCUAACUACGUG